GGGAGAAUGGUCCAGUGGUAGGGCACAGGCGCCUCGAGCAUGUUCUGGAUGUCAGUUCGAGUCUGACUUCUCCCA
rnacentral:tRNA from 1 species